rnacentral:rRNA from 1 species
GAAUCUUAGACAAUGGGCGCAAGCCUGAUCUAGCCAUGCCGCGUGAGUGACGAAGGUCUUAGGAUCGUAAAGCUCUUUCGCCAGGGAUGAUACUGACAGUACCUGGUAAAGAAACCCCGGCUAACUACGUGCCAGCAGCCGCGGUAAUACGGCGGGGGUUAGCGUUGUUCGGAAUUACUGGGCGUAAAGCGCACGUAGGCGGACGAUUAAGUCAGAGGUGAAAUCCCAGGGCUCAACCCUGGAACUGCCUUUGAUACUGGUUGUCUUGAGUUCGAGAGAGGUGAGUGGAAUUCCGAGUGUAGAGGUGAAAUUCGUAGAUAUUCGGAGGAACACCAGUGGCGAAGGCGGCUCACUGGCUCGAUACUGACGCUGAGGUGCGAAAGCGUGGGGAGCAAACAGG